rnacentral:rRNA from 1 species
GACCUGAUGCAGCCAUGCCGCGUGUGUGAAGAAGGCCUUCGGGUUGUAAAGCACUUUCAGUUGUGAGGAAAGGUUGGUAGUUAAUACCUGCCAGCUGUGACGUUAACAACAGAAGAAGCACCGGCUAACUCCGUGCCAGCAGCCGCGGUAAUACGGAGGGUGCGAGCGUUAAUCGGAAUUACUGGGCGUAAAGCGCACGCAGGCGGUUUGUUAAGCUAGAUGUGAAAGCCCCGGGCUCAACCUGGGAUGGUCAUUUAGAACUGGCAGACUAGAGUCUUGGAGAGGGGAGUGGAAUUCCAGGUGUAGCGGUGAAAUGCGUAGAUAUCUGGAGGAACAUCAGUGGCGAAGGCGGCUCCCUGGCCAAAGACUGACGCUCAUGUGCGAAAGUGUGGGUAGCGAACAGGAUUAGAUACCCUGGUAGUCCACACCGUAAACGCUGUCUACUAGCUGUGUGUGAAUUUAAUUCGUGAGUAGCGAAGCUAACGCGCUAAGUAGACCGCCUGGGGAGUACGGCCGCAAGGUUAAAACUCAAA